AUCCUUGGACAGGGGCGGUAGUAUUGCAGAUGACGUUUACUGCGGAUUGCAUACUAAUCGCUGAUUGAAAACUUAAGUCCGAUUCCCGUGUAGGGCCUAACAGCACUACCACUUUCUGGAGCCCUUCGGGGUGG
rfam:Gregarina niphandrodes unplaced genomic scaffold scaffold00008, whole genome shotgun sequence.